rnacentral:tRNA from 1 species
GGGGAUAUAGCUCAGUUGGCUAGAGCAUCGCGUUUGCAACGCGAGGGUCAGGGGUUCGAAUCCCCUUAUCUCCA